rnacentral:rRNA from 1 species
AACGAACGCUGGCGGCAGGCUUAACACAUGCAAGUCGAGCGCCCCGCAAGGGGAGCGGCAGACGGGUGAGUAACGCGUGGGAACGUACCUUUUGGUUCGGAACAACUCCGGGAAACUGGAGCUAAUACCGGAUAAGCCCUAACGGGGAAAGAUUUAUCGCCGAAAGAUCGGCCCGCGUCUGAUUAGCUAGUUGGUGAGGUAACGGCUCACCAAGGCGACGAUCAGUAGCUGGUCUGAGAGGAUGAUCAGCCACACUGGGACUGAGACACGGCCCAGACUCCUAAGGGAGGGAGCAGUGGGGAAUAUUGGACAAUGGGCGCAAGCCUGAUCCAGCCAUGCCGCGUGAGUGAGGAAGGCCUUAGGGUUGUAAAGCUCUUUUGUCCGGGAAGAUAAUGACUGUACCGGAAGAAUAAGCACCGGCUAACUUCGUG